UGACUAGCUGGAGUAUCACGUUUGUUUGUUUGUUUGUUCGUUUAAAAUAUUCGAUUUAAAAAUUCGAAGUUACGCCAGGCGGCGUUUAACGGAAUGUUGGUGUCUCAUGGGCUGCAGUGUUCCAAAAACUCUCGAAUGUAUCUCUUUCGAGGUUUUAUUUCGAAGGCGACCUGUAAUAAAACCGUGACUCGCCGCCGUCCGGCACCAGGCUAGGAGGAUUCUCCUGAAAUGCGACCGACAUUUCCGUUCAGGUUCAGCAGGGUCCCUGUAGGCCGAUGGCGGUGAAGAUAGACAGUGAAAACACAAUGUGAAACAAGUGCUGGUCGACGUUGCAUCAGGCCACAUUCCUGGGGAAAGAUUUCUGGCAGAAGGAGCUGAACGCUGUUGAAAUCUGUCUAUGCCACCUUGUCAGAAAGUUCCCGUCUUUAAAUAACAAUGAGAACGAAGGGAAAGAGAGUUGAUCCUUUAGUCCGUCCUGUCUGAGCGGAUGAGGGCAGGACCGCUGUUUCAUUUUUAAAGGAAUAUCCCGCCCCGAAAGAAAAGUGUCAUCAUCACGUCAUGACUUUCUCUGCAGCGUGAAACUCCAAUCAAGAUAUUCUGAGGAAGAAAAGUAUAAAGGAAGGACGUAAGGGCAAGUAAACGAUGGCUUAAUUUUCAUUCUUGGGUGAACUAGUCCUUUAAAACAAAUGCAUUGCCGAGCGAAUAGACUAAACAUCUAGGAAGCCAGUGUUUGUGGUUCACUGACAUUCUGAAUGUUUUGAAAUUCAACUCCCUAUAAAAUCCGCUGGAAUGUGAUGCGGACUCGGACGCAGGCUCGAUCUCUCUCUCGUUUGUGCCUCAGCCAGCAUGCACCUGUCCCGUCGAACAAGCGUGUCUGCUGACACAAACACUUCUGCGGAUAGACAAACAAACAGAGAUGAGUGAGAAAGAGAUGAGCAGAUUGUAGAGAGAAUAUAAACCGAGUCUUCAUCUCUCAUCGAAAUGCACGCAUUAUUAAUGUAUCAGGCCCGAGCGAUAUGAUUCAGUGGUGUCAUAUUUGCACCACACGAGUUUUACAAUCUUUACUUGCUAAAUAAUAACCGAUAAUAUAUUUUUUCUUUCGUUUAUCGUCCAAAUAAUACGACAAUGUAACACAACAGUAUUGUAAGAAUCACUAAUGCCAAAGAAACCAUCACUCAAUCAAUCAAUCAAUCAAUUAAUGAAAAAAGGUCACGGGGUCAGGUAGUUACAUAUUUUUGUAUCAUUAUGAUUGUUAUAAGUGUCUUUUAUUACAGCAAAGCUAAAUAAAUGGCUUUAAUCGCGGUUAAUCGUGUAGACUUUCACCUAACGGGUUCGUGAAUCUUUUCACUGACUCGGUUAAACGAAGCGGUUCAGAGAGUCAUUUGUUCGCGAAUCUCACGUCGUGGAUCGCGCUGCUCUGCUGCCGCUCGCUCAGGACUGUCCGUCGAAAUAUCUUUCUCUAUUCGCGACGAUCGCUGCGAGCUUUAACUCGCGACAUUUCGGCCGCCGCUUCGAAGCUCUGACUCGUCUGAAGCAUCCGAGGCCUGCUCCUUCAACUAACGAAAAGCCGACGGGAGUCUACAAAUCGCUUUCCUCGUUUGGUGGAAUGAUAAAAAGCAGCUCAGACGCUCUUCUUUUGGCUCUCACGGAAGCAGAAGGGCCGGAUCGAGCCCGAACGAUGCCAAAGCUGUCGCUUUUCGGCGAAUUAUCGCGUCUGCAAAUGUGUUGAAAGGAUUUCUGGUUCCCCUCGUUGAGCAAUGCGAGCGCGCAUCAGCUGUCAGACAAAUCAUCCUCUCCUUUUGUGUGUCACUGUCACAGCAGCUCGGCUUGAUCUUUAAGACAGUUACUAUGAAUAUAACAGCUACCGCGGCGGAGGAGACCGGAAAAUCCGGUUUUCGCAAAAAGUCCCUCCCAAUGCAUCUUUCACAGGUAUGCGUGUGUGUGUGUGUGUGUGUGUGUGUGUGUGUGUGUGUGCGCGCGCUUUCUCUUCAUCGCAGAUGAAUUAGAACUCGACUCCUUUCAUGUUGUGGUGGUUUGUCAUUGUCUAGGGUGUGAGAAACAAAUCCAACUGUACAGAUGCAAUGACUCACUCAUUCAAGGCAUCAUGGGCUGGGAAGCGCGCAGAAGGACAAGGUGUGCUGGUUUUUUGGCAGAUGUUUUCGGAGCAGGGAGCAGAUCAGCUAUUGGGAAAUCACAUUUCUGGGUGGUGGUGACAAACACUGCGAGGAAAGACGUGUUAUUGUUUAUGAUUUCCAGUGAACGGUUGCAGACGCCGUAUUCCGCUAUUGCUUAUAUGGGAAAUUUUAGCUUGCCUUGUUUUAUGGUGAACGAAGGGGUCCUACGGAAGCUGUUCCAGAAAUGUGGACAACACAUCAUUAUCUUUACUACUAAAUAUUUUUAAUAAUAAUAAAAAAAUCAUAAAAAUUAAAGCCAGUUUAUAGAAAAGGCAAUUGCAAUCUGAUGAGCUUAUGCAUUUUUUUAAAAAAGUGGAAGAAGCAAGCAAUAUUUUUAAAUAUAUACAUACAAAAAUGGUUUAACCCAAAAUAUUACGGCCAAGCUUCACUAUUAUGAAAAAUGAUGAAUACGUUAUUGAAAUAACCGUUAAUAUGCAUUUUUUUUUGCA